AUGGAGAGUUUGAUCCUGGCUCAGAAUGAACGCUGGCGGCAUGGAUUAGGCAUGCAAGUCGAACGGGACGCCUUCGGGCGUCUAGUGGCGAAAGGGUGAGUAACACGUGAGCAACCUGCCCCCGAGGGCGGAAUAAGCGCUGGAAACGGCGUCUAAAACCGCAUGAGGCUUCCGGAGCGCAUGCUCCGGUCUCCAAAUAUUCAUACCUUGGGGAUGGGCUCGCGGCCCAUUAGCUUGUUGGCGGGGUAACGGCCCACCAAGGCUGCGACGGGUAGGUGGUCUGAGAGGAUGGUCACCCACACUGGGACUGAGACACUGCCCAGACUCCUACGGGAGGCUGCAGUCGAGAAUCUUCCGCAAUGGGCGAAAGCCUGACGGAGCGAUGCCGCGUGAGGGACGAAGGUCUUCGGAUUGUAAACCUCUGUCAUCGGGGACGAACACAAUGACGGUACCCGAAAAGGAAGCCACGGCUAACCACGUGCCAGCAGCCGCGGUAACACGUGGGUGGCGAGCGUUAUUCGGAUUCACUGGGCGUAAAGGGUCCGCAGGGGGCCUGCCACGCCCGCCGUGAAAGCCCGGGGCUCAACCCCGGGACUGCGGCGGGUACGGGCGGGCUGGAGUGUGUGAUGGGCAGACGGAAUUCCAGGUGUAGCGGUGGAAUGCGUGGAUAUCUGGAAGAACACCGAUGGCGAAGGCGGUCUGCUGGCACAUCACUGACCCUCAGGGACGAGAGUGUGGGUAGCGAACAGGAUUAGAUACCCUGGUAGUCCACACCGUAAACGUUGUGCGCCAGAUGUUGAGCGGUCGGCCCGCUCAGCGUCCAAGCUAACGCGGUAAGCGCACCGCCUGGGGACUACGGCCGCAAGGCUAAAACUCAAAGGAAUUGACGGGGGCCCGCACAAGCGGUGGAGCAUGUUGCUUAAUUCGAGGCAACGCGAAGAACCUUACCCAGGUUUGACAUGGCGCCGACCGUCCGUGAAAGCGGAUCUCCCCUCGGGGCGGUGCCACAGAUGCUGCAUGGCUGUCGUCAGCUCGUGCCGUGAGGUGUUCGGUUAAGUCCGGCAACGAGCGCAACCCAUGCCGCCAGUUACCAGCGAGUGAUGUCGGGGACUCUGGCGGGACUGCCCGUGUCAAGCGGGAGGAGGGCGUGGAUGACGUCAAGUCCGUAUGGCUCCUACGCCUGGGGCCGCAAACGUGCUACAAUGGCGGGUACAGUGGGUCGCGGCGCCGCGAGGCGCCUCCAAUCCCGAAAGCCCGCCCCAGUUCGGAUUGCAGCCUGCAACUCGGCUGCAUGAAGCCGGAAUCGCUAGUAAAGGGGUAUCAGCUACGAUCCCUUGAAUACGUUCCCGGGCCUUGUACACACCGCCCGUCACAUCAUGGAAGCUGACCUCACCCGAAGUGGCCGGGCCAACCGCAAGGAGGCAGGUCCCUAAGGUGAGUUCGGUGACUGGGAUGAAGUCGUAACAAGGUAGCCGUUGGGGAACCAGCGGCUGGAUCACCUCCUU
rnacentral:rRNA from 1 species